UACGGAGGGGGCUAGCGUUGUUCGGAUUCAUUGGGCGUAAAGAGCUCGUAGGCGGCUCAGUAAGUCGGGUGUGAAACCCUCAGGCUCAACCUGGGGACGCCACUCGAUACUGCUGUGGCUAGAGUCCAGUAGGGGAGUGUGGAAUUCCCGGUGUAGCGGUGAAAUGCGCAGAUAUCGGGAGGAACACCAGCGGCGAAGGCGGCACUCUGGGCUGGUACUGACGCUGAGGAGCGAAAGCGUGGGUAGCAAACAGG
rnacentral:rRNA from 1 species